CAUUCCACGUAUCCAUGCUGCAUGCUAAACCAUUCUAGAACAUAUAGAAAUACAUUCCAAAAUGUCCACUAAGGAAACUUUCCUUGAAUUUGAAGCUGACAACUUCCCACGGUCACAAAUGCCCCUAAUGCCUUCCAUUACUCCUUGCUGGGCUGGAGCCCUGCUUGGGAUCAUUUCAGGAGUAACAAGCACCAGGAGCCCAAGGAAGCCUCGGUGUACCCCAUGGGUACAUGGUGCCUGCUCUGGAACAGGGCCAGCUUCCUUUGUAGCUAAGUGCAGCCACGUUCUGGCCAAUGGAAAACGACUGGUGGAGCUGGGUAAACUUACAGAUCACAUCAUUUAAAGAAACUGCCUCUACCUCCCCUCUCCCCUGCUGUGGGCUGCAAAGGGAAUGGAGAGUCAGCUUCGGCCCUGAAGCAACACCCCAGCGUGAGGCACAGCAACAAAGCAGAAGGAAUCUGGGUCUCUGGACAACCUCAUGGGGCAGAGCUACCCUGGACCACCUCCUCUGGACUCUCACAGAAGAGAAAAACACCCUUGUAGCUUGUUUACUGCCUUCCAGGACUUCUGUUCCAGCACCUUCACCUAUACCCCGACUAGUACGCUCUUCAACCUUUGCAGUCACUUUGCACAACAGGGACCUCGAUGCCUGAACUUUCAUCAGGGCCAACUCAUGCACCAGGGACAGGAGGGACAGUCGGGUCUGGCACUGAUCACUCACCAAUCGUGGAGACAGCAGUGAAGAAACAGGUCAGCUACAUCCGGGGCUGAAUCCCCCUCCGCUAAUCCCCACCUGGGUACCUGAGGAUGACUUGCUUCACUUCUCUAAGCCUCAGUUUCCUCCUCUGUAAAAUGGGGACACCAAUACUUUCCUCAGCAGACACUGCGCAGAUGAAGGGAGGCUUUAGCACAGCGUUUGUCUUAUAAGGAGCCCUCAGUAAACGGUAGCCAUGAUGUAGUAUUAGGCACAAUAACAUGUAUCUCUCACUUCUCUUUUAAAUCACAUUUGCAUACAUAAUGUAACUCUGUCUUCAUGAACACACUGGGAGGAGGGUGGGUCAGAAAGCAAUAUUUCCAUGUUUGCGAUGAAGGAAUCAGGCUCGGAGAGGUAGGUGGCUUUCCUCAGCCCCUCUGUGGGUUGGGGACAGGGCCAGCAUUCAAGCCAAUGCUGCUCACUCCUCGUUCCCUUCUCGUUCCACUGAGUGCCCUCCCAAGACAACAGUGAUAAGAAUAACAGGCUCCAUCACCGAGUGCUCAUGAUGUGACAGGCUCCUUGUCCUGUUAAUCAUCACAUUUAACCCUUAAAAGAGGCCAGCUGGCCCAACAGGGUCCGUGUCUACGAAGAAGUCUCCAGUGUAAACUCAUGGUGUUGGAACAGUGUCUGUGAACAGCGGUGCCGGGAAGCAACCCCCUGAUCGUGGAAGCACAGGAGCAGGUUUCCCAGCCCCGAGACGGCUGCGCUCUGGGACCAGACACUUCUCUGUUAUGGGGGCUGUUCCGUGCAUAUAGUAGGACAGUGAGCAGCAUUCCAGGUCUCCACUGACCAGAUCUCACUAGUAACCCCCCCAUACCAGUUGUGCCAACCAGACACAUCUCCAGGUAUUGCCCAGUGUCCCCUGGGUGGCAAAAUUGUCCCAAUUUUUUUUUUUUUUUUUUUGAGACAAGAGUUUUGCUCUGUCACCCAGGCUAGAGUACAGUGGCACAA
rnacentral:lncRNA from 1 species